rnacentral:rRNA from 1 species
GAUGAACGCUGGCGGCGUGCCUAAUACAUGCAAGUCGAGCGAACAGACGAGGAGCUUGCUCCUCUGACGUUAGCGGCGGACGGGUGAGUAACACGUGGAUAACCUACCUAUAAGACUGGGAUAACUUCGGGAAACCGGAGCUAAUACCGGAUAAUAUAUUGAACCGCAUGGUUCAAUAGUGAAAGACGGUUUUGCUGUCACUUAUAGAUGGAUCCGCGCCGCAUUAGCUAGUUGGUAAGGUAACGGCUUACCAAGGCAACGAUACGUAGCCGACCUGAGAGGGUGAUCGGCCACACUGGAACUGAGACACGGUCCAGACUCCUACGGGAGGCAGCAGUAGGGAAUCUUCCGCAAUGGGCGAAAGCCUGACGGAGCAACGCCGCGUGAGUGAUGAAGGUCUUCGGAUCGUAAAACUCUGUUAUUAGGGAAGAACAAAUGUGUAAGUAACUAUGCACGUCUUGACGGUACCUAAUCAGAAAGCCACGGCUAACUACGUG